CGGGGCUUAGUGCCGCAGCUAACGCAUUAAGCACUCCGCCUGGGGAGUACGACCGCAAGGUUGAAACUCAAAGGAAUUGACGGGGGCCCGCACAGGCGGUGGAGCAUGUGGUUUAAUUCGAAGCAACGCGAAGAACCUUACCAGGUCUUGACAUCCCUCUGACCGCUCUAGAGAUAGAGUUUUCCUUCGGGACAGAGGUGACAGGUGGUGCAUGGUUGUCGUCAGCUCGUGUCGUGAGAUGUUGGGUUAAGUCCCGCAACGAGCGCAACCCCUAUUGUUAGUUGCCAUCAUUCAGUUGGGCACUCUAGCGAGACUGCCGGUAAUAAACCGGAGGAAGGUGGGGAUGACGUCAAAUCAUCAUGCCCCUUAUGACCUGGGCUACACACGUGCUACAAUGGCUGGUACAACGAGUCGCAAGCCGGUGACGGCAAGCUAAUCUCUGAAAGCCAGUCUCAGUUCGGAUUGUAGGCUGCAACUCGCCUACAUGAAGUCGGAAUCGCUAGUAAUCGCGGAUCAGCACGCCGCGGUGAAUACGUUCCCGGGCCUUGUACACACCGCCCGUCACACCACGAGAGUUUGUAACACCCGAAGUCGGUGGGGUAACCGUAAGGAGCCAGCCGCC
rnacentral:rRNA from 1 species